AGUCAUAUGCUUGUCUCAAAGAUUAAGCCAUGCAUGUCUCAGUACAAGCCGAAUUAAGGUGAAACCGCGAAAGGCUCAUUAAAUCAGUUAUGGUUCCUUAGAUCGUACCCACAUUUACUUGGAUAACUGUGGUAAUUCUAGAGCUAAUACAUGCAAACAGAGCUCCGACCGGAGACGGAAGGAGCGCUUUUAUUAGAUCAAAACCAAUCGGCGUCGGGUUCGCUCGUCGUCGUACAACUUGGUGAAUCUGAAUAACUUUUUGCUGAUCGCAUGGUCCCGCACCGGCGACGCAUCUUUCAAAUGUCUGCCUUAUCAACUGUCGAUGGUAGGUUCUGCGCCUACCAUGGUUGUAACGGGUAACGGGGAAUCAGGGUUCGAUUCCGGAGAGGGAGCCUGAGAAACGGCUACCACAUCCAAGGAAGGCAGCAGGCGCGCAAAUUACCCACUCCCGGCACGGGGAGGUAGUGACGAAAAAUAACGAUACGGGACUCAUCCGAGGCCCCGUAAUCGGAAUGAGUACACUCUAAACCCUUUAACGAGGAUCAAUUGGAGGGCAAGUCUGGUGCCAGCAGCCGCGGUAAUUCCAGCUCCAAUAGCGUAU
rnacentral:rRNA from 1 species